GAGAGAGGUCAGCGUGAGCCCCUUGCCUCACACCGGCCCCUCCCACGCUGAGAGAGGUCAGUGUGAGCCCUUGCCUCACACCGGCCCCUCCCACGCGGACAGAGGUCAGCGUGAGCCCCUUGCCUCACACCGGCCCCUCCCACGCUGAGAGAGGUCAGUGUGAGCCCUUGCCUCACCCCGGCCCCUCCCACGUGGACAGAGGUCAGCGUGAGCCCCUUGUCUCACACCGGCCCCUCCCACGCUGAGAGAGGUCAGCGUGAGCCCCUUGCCUCACACCGGCCCCUCCCACGCGGACAGAGGUCAGCCCGAGCCCCUUGUCUCACACCGGCCCCUCCCAUGCUGAGAGAGGUCAGCGUGCCCCUUGUCUCACACCGGCCCCUCCCACGCUGAGAGAGGUCAGCGUGAGCCCCUUGCCUCACACCGGCCCCUCCCACGCUGAGAGAGGUCAGCCCGAGCCCCUUGCCUCACACCGGCCCCUCCCACGCUGAGAGAGGUCAGCGUGAGCCCCUUGUCUCACACCGGCCCCUCCCACGCUGAGAGAGGUCAGCCCGAGCCCCUUGCCUCACACCGGCCCCUCCCACGCUGAGAGAGGUGUGAGCCCCUUGUCUCACACCGGCCCCUCCCACGCGGACAGAGGUCAGCGUGAGCCCCUUGCCUCACCCCGGCCCCUCCCACGCUGAGAGAGGUCAGUGUGAGCCCUUGCCUCACACCGGCCCCUCCCACGCGGACAGAGGUCAGCGUGAGCCCCUUGCCUCACCCCGGCCCCUCCCACGCUGAGAGAGGUCAGUGUGAGCCCUUGCCUCACACCGGCCCCUCCCACGCGGACAGAGGUC
rnacentral:lncRNA from 1 species